AGGCUUUGUGAUGAGGAGCCACAUCUGGUACCACAUUGGACUGAACAUGGCUAAGGAGGUGUUUUGGCACCUGAACACUUGUGUCAGCAGCCAGCUGCAGAGUACGGUGCUCCCUGUGUGGGCAAGGAACUGCCAGAGGAAUUCAUGUUCCAAGUGUCCUGGAAGCGUGGUGCCCAGUCCAGUGUGGGCCAUCAUGAAGGGGGUAACAGGGAAACUGGGUAGUGUCUCUAGGGUGGAGCAGCUUAGGAGAAGCCUCCAAAUCCCUGUCUUUCCGUAACUGGAAACCUAAACUCAUUGGCAGGUGACCUACCCUUUCAGCGGCAUCCAUGCUAGCUGCAGGGGGAGGGCUCUAACAAAACAUGCAUAUUCUGCAAAUUAGAACUGCAUCAUUAUUUUGAAAUACUUGAUAUAAAAUGUUUGAUUGUAUUCACAAUCUAUUCACAUUAUCACAAGAAAUUUCAACAUUACAUUUGUCAAAGAAAGAAAAGAAAGCGCUGUUAGAUUUUUUAAAUAUAAUUUCAAGUGUUAUACAUGUUUGAAUAGUUACAAAAUGGUCUCACACUCUUAAUUAUGUACUUGUGUGAACAGAAGUUUCCUGUCGAUAGUGACUUUCAAGGAUUUGAAGAAACCAUCAUUAAAAAGCCUUGAUUGAGAAUUGUGUAUGCCCAUUUCAUGCAUACAGCCUGAUAUAAAUAAAAAAUUGUGUUCACGGAAGAAA